UAUAUAUAUUAAGAACUGACCUCAUAACAAAAUUGAAAGGUAUUGGACACCCUGUAUUGUUUCAAUAGUUUCCAUUUCAUGAGAAAAGCAAAAAUAUUGUUACAUUUAAGUGUCAUUUUUAGAUAUUAUAUGUGUAUCUAUUCAAUUACAAACAUGAAGUGAAGUUCUGUAGAGUAUACUGUAGAGUCUGUAGAGUGUAGACCAUGUCAACAGACGUCGCAUAAGAUCAAUUUCGAUUAUAAUUACCCAAAGGAGUGAAGCCCCUUAAACGUCACUAACGUCCUAAUAUGAAUCCUAAAACAAAACACAAAUAGAAUAACAACAAACAAAUAGUUGUAUUGAUAAAGUUUCCAUGGAAUGUGGUUUAAUCAGACAAUCUUCUCAGUUGCAUCCCAAAUAAAUCUACGUUCUUUAUUUCCACUAGUAAACAACAAUCAUUGGUCACUUAUCAGAGUGAUAAUGAGAUUACAGUAUCUUUGUUUUUUUAUUAAAAAUGACAACUCCCUCUCCUUGUGUUUCUUUUUUAUACUGCCUUUUUUCUUCCCUUUUGACGUUUAAAAAAUAUAUCGCGCGCGGGCCACAUUUCAGUUCAGGGUGUGGCAGCGUGAGGUCGUUUCUGCGCUGGUGUGAUUCAGAUAAACAGUUAUUUAGCCACCGAAUGCCUGGAUAUAACAGUGUUUUACUUGUCAACAGUGUUUCUACAAGAUUAUUAAUGUACUGUCGCCUAAAAUGUAGCGCACAUUCUGUUAUGAACAAAGCUUAAGUUUAUAAAUUUAUGAAUAGUAAUUUUAUGAGUAAGUACGUAGAAUUCAAAAACUAAAAAUUUUCUUCGAUUCAGAGUGUUUCAGUCAUAUUCAGAAUUCUAGUUGUGAUUUUGAGUGUUAAAGAUAAUUGUAGUUUCUGUAAUCUUAUAUUUUCAUGUUACGCAAAUUUAUUCAACUUGUUUUGUUUUCAUUUUGCUCGAGCACCUCGUUUCUAAUUGAGAGCAGAAUACCGAUCUGCAAAACUAUUUACCUUUGUUAGGCCAUUUUGCGCUUCCUGGAACUUAAAUUCCUUGGCUGUUUUUCGGUGCUCACGAAUUAUUCGUAUCAAGAUGGCGCACAACCUGAACAUAGAAUGUGUACCAGGUUCUGGUUGUUUAGAUUUUGCGUCAUCUUGGCACGAAUACUUCCGGAGCGCCGUUUUUUCUACUGGGUUGUGCUUGUUCGAUACGAAGAUGCUGCUGUGAAAAUAAAGUUUUGGUUCUCAAAGAUAACAGAAGUGCUGGGUGGCUACAUUUGCAAAUGUUUUGAUUCUAACGCGACCGGUAUUUCCCCCACAUUUUGCCGUAUUUUUAUAAUCCCUUGACACAACUAAUCUGUACAUUGCUUCAAAUAUUUAGCAGGAUUUUUUGCGAUGGAUGACCAUUUUUGUCACGACUUUCGUGCUCACAUUUAUAUUCAUUUCAGCAUUGUGUUCUUUUUUUGUUAUCUAUAUACUGCGUUUGCAUGUUUUUGCAACGUUAUUCUUCAUGAAUCAAGUCUUGCUUUCUGGUCAAAUUUGCUGUAAAUUGUAAUCCGGGUUAAAGUGUUAUUGUUUAUAAUUUUCCUACUUCGCUCAAUAACUCUGUAUCAUCGUCCUUCGAAAUUUUUAGGUAAACUAUUAUUUUUAAAUAACGGGAUCAAAAGGAAGAACAUAUCGAUCAAUCAAUCAAUCUUUUAUUUGUCAACACAAAAAACAAGCAUAUAGAAAACUGUUACAAUAAAUAAAAUAUACUGAUCAUGUUGAUUGUGUGACUUGAGUCGCGAGCGACCUAUAAAGGUCUUCAAGCAGCGACACCUAGCUGAUGCAGGGCUUUGCGAAAAAGGAAGAUAUUGUUACUGCUAGUGGACUAGUGACGAUUAGUCGAUGUAAAUGGAAAGGGCUUUGCGAAGGUAGAAGAUAUUGUUGCUGCUGAUGGUCGUGUGACGAUUGAUCGAUGUAAAUGGACAGAAUGCAUACGAAUACAAGUGAGAUUUUGAAGUAUCAAGAGAGCAAUGCUCAACUAUAUGGAGACGCUUCUUUGCCCGUAGUUUCUCUGAAAAUCAUCAUGUAAGAGUCUCGCGAUAUCUGUAGUUGAUUCUGCCCGGAACAUCGAAUCAAGGCAAAAUCAAUCUUACAAGUCUGGAUAAAGAAAGUACGUUCUUGACGGAGGAAAAAAAAAUAUUUAUCUCGAAUCAAGCAGACUUAGGGUGGCAGUUUUAUCUUGAUAGCGAGUGUUUUAGAAUUAUACAAUAUGUAUUUUCAUUUUUAAUUUAGUUGAGCAAACCGGUACUCAUCGCCCACGUUUGUCAUCUGCCGUGGAGUGAAUAUCCAAAUCGGCGAAACAAGCGCGCUGACCUAAAACCCGGUUACAGAGCGAGAGACUGCCAGCUAAAAAUACGUGUAACACUCUUUAAAUUGGGACCCGCAAUGGGACACGCCUGAUUUGUGUUGAUUGACUAAUUGGAUUGAAAAAUGGCGUUUGAAGCGCAAGCGCUAAGUACAUCCAAAUCGCGCUUACCCUCGUGCUCUUGUCACAAAUCUUGUUCUGUGCCGGUAUCUUAUCAGGUCGUGUCAUUUGAACAAUUUAGACAGUUUGAUUCCUUUUUUUAUUUUGAAUCACUUUUAU